rnacentral:rRNA from 1 species
GGGGAAUAUUGCACAAUGGGGGAAACCCUGAUGCAGCGACGCCGCGUGGAGGAAGAAGGUCUUCGGAUUGUAAACUCCUGUUGUUGAGGAAGAUAAUGACGGUACUUAACAAGGAAGUGACGGCUAACUACGUGCCAGCAGCCGCGGUAAAACGUAGGUCACAAGCGUUGUCCGGAAUUACUGGGUGUAAAGGGAGCGCAGGCGGGCGAUCAAGUUGGAAGUGAAAUCCAUGGGCUCAACCCAUGAACUGCUUUCAAAACUGAUUGUCUUGAGUAGUGCAGAGGUAGGCGGAAUUCCCGGUGUAGCGGUGGAAUGCGUAGAUAUCGGGAGGAACACCAGUGGCGAAGGCGGCCUACUGGGCACCAACUGACGCUGAGGCUCGAAAGUGUGGGUAGCAAACAGGAUUAGAUACCCUGGUAGUCCACACCGUAAACGAUGAUUACUAGGUGUUGGAGGAUUGACCCCUUCAGUGCCGCAGUUAACACAAUAAGUAAUCCACCUGGGGAGUACGACCGCAAGGUUGAAACUCAAAGGAAUUGACGGGGGCCCGCACAAGCAGUGGAGUAUGUGGUUUAAUUCGACGCAACGCGAAGAACCUUACCAAGUCUUGACAUCCUGCGACGAUGCUAGAAAUAGUGUUUUCCUUCGGGACGCAGAGACAGGUGGUGCAUGGUUGUCGUCAGCUCGUGUCGUGAGAUGUUGGGUUAAGUCCCGCAACGAGCGCAACCCUUAUGGUCAGUUACUACGCAAGAGGACUCUGGCCAGACUGCCGUUGACAAAACGGAGGAAGGUGGGGAUGACGUCAAAUCAUCAUGCCCUUUAUGACUUGGGCUACACACGUACUACAAUGGCGUUAAACAAAGAGAAGCAAGACCGCGAGGUGGAGCAAAACUCAGAAACAACGUCCCAGUUCGGACUGCAGGCUGCAACUCGCCUGCACGAAAUCGGAAUUGCUAGUAAUCGCAGAUCAGCAUGCUGCGGUGAAUACGUUCCCG